rnacentral:lncRNA from 1 species
ACCUGGAUGCAGAAAUACCAAUCAUUUUCCUCCUCCAGGACAAUGUUCUUUACCCCAGAGUGACUCAGUCCAAAAAGAACAGAGGCAGAGGGGAAACACCAGAAGGCUCCCUCCCUUUCUAGCUUGACCAUUCUUGGAGGAGACCAGCCACAGGUGUUCAACUUUUGCGCUGGGAGGAGGCAGAGGACUAGCCGAACGCAGGUAGCCCGUCCGGCCCUCCGAUUGGCUCUGAGCCUGCGGCAUCCCCUGAGGAUUGGCUCCAAGUGGCCGCCCGGAUGGGCUUCCUUAUUGGUCACCAGGUACUUUGAGCUCUCUCCUCCUACCGUCCAUGUCGCUCGUCUAUUGGUCAGUUGUCCCGAACCUGGCCAAUCCGGCAAACUAUGACCGUCCCAGAGGAGAGGGAGGGGGUUCGAGUGCAUUUCAUUGCCCCCAGCUUUGGCCUCUUCGGUCCUGCGAGGGCUUAGCGCGGGCCUCCUGAUCCCCCUUGGGUGGAGGUCGCGCGCGCGCCAGUCCCACGCCAAUUCCCCAGCUCUAAUAUCUUCCAUGGAGCAAAGUGGGGCAAGAGUUGCAGAAUUCCCAGGCGGGGUCGGGGGGUAAUGCCUGGGCUUUCCCUUCAGCGGCAGCCACAGGAGAUGAGGGGGCCAG